CUGAGGUCAGGAGUUCGAGACCAGCCUGGACAACAUGUCAUGUUGCAGAAUCUUGAUCCAACAUCUGGAAUUUAUGCAGCCAUCUUGUUACCAACUCUAGUAUGAAGACAACAUGAAGAAUGAAAGUAUAGAAAGAUUAUUAAAAAGUAAAUGUCACACUUAGUUUUGAAUAAUAUAUGGUGCUCAUGAAUCAACCAAUCUUGGAGUCUGCUUUUCCUCUGAAUGUCAUAGUUUGGAAGACUACAGAAAAUUCAGCUAUGCACCUCAGAGGUCUGAGCCCAACUCUCUCAUCUUCUACCUUAUAUCAUUUCAAAAUAAGGCAAAUUCCACGAAGACACAGGAGACAGAUUGGCCUUUUUUAGACAUAAUGGGAUGCGAAAACAUAAAACACAAUAUCCAAACAAUGCUGGAAGUUCAAUAUACUGUGGAAUAUCAGUUGUUUAUCCUCAUGAUCGCAUGACUGAUUGGGAACCGUGCAUCACUGCAACUGCCCAGAAUCAUAAGUAUCAUACUACAUCUCAUCAUCCCAGGAAAACAUCAAAAAUGACCUCUAAGGAACCUACAGAACAUCUCAUCCAAACC